UACGUAGGGGGGCAAGCGUUGUCCGGAUUUAUUGGGGCGUAAAAGCGCACGUAGGCGGAUUGGUCAGUUUAGGGGUGAAAUCCUGGAGCUCAACUCCAGAACUGCCUUUAAUACUGCCAGUCUCGAGUCCGGAAGAGGUAAGUGGAACUCCUAGUGUAGAGGUGGAAUUCGUAGAUAUUAGGAAGAACACCAGUGGCGAAGGCGGCUUACUGGUCCGGUACUGACGCUAGGUGC
rnacentral:rRNA from 1 species